rnacentral:rRNA from 1 species
GACGAACGCUGGCGGCGUGCUUAAUACAUGCAAGUAGAACGCUGAAGGAGGAGCUUGCUUGGGUGGACGAGUUGCGAACGGGUGAGUAACGCGUAGGUAACCUGCCUGGUAGCGGGGGAUAACUAUUGGAAACGAUAGCUAAUACCGCAUAAGAGUAGAUGUUGCAUGACAUUUGCUUAAAAGGUUCAAUUGCAUCACUACCAGAUGGACCUGCGUUGUAUUAGCUGGUUGGUGGGGUAACGGCUCAUCUAGGCGACGAUACAUAGCCGACCUGAGAGGGUGGUCGGCGACCCUGGGCGUGGGACAGGCCCCAGGCUCCUUCGGGACGCAGCAGUAGGGUAUCUGCGGCAAUGGACGGGAAUCUGACACAGUAAGGCCGAGUCAGUGACGACGGUUUUCGGUUCGUGAAGCUCUGCUGUAGGAGGAGAACGCGUGUCAGAGUGGAAAGAUCACUCUGUGACGGUAACUUACAAGAAAGGGACGGCUAACUACGUG